CAGCACUUGGGAGGCAGAGGCAGGAGGACUGUCAUGAGUUCGAGGCCAGCCUAGACUACAUAAUAAGUUCAAGGCCAGCCUGAACUACAUAGGGAGACCCUAUCUCAAAUAAAUAAAUAAAAUUUAAAACAGCAUUUUAAAUACCUACCUACAGAAAUACAUGCUCAUUAUAGAAAAGUAAUAGAAAGGGACUAGUGCUCAGUAGUAGAACACUUAUCUGGCAUUCUCAAGGCCCUCUGUUCAAUGCCCAGCACUGCAAAAGAAAAGAUAGAUAGAUGGCAGAUAGAUAGAUAGAUAGAUAGAUAGAUAGAAGCAAAGGAAAUAGAAGCAAAUAAAUAGAAGAAAAGGAAAUAAAUAGCAAAGCAAAUAAAUAGAAACAAAGGAAAUAACCUUCAUUUUUUUAGAGUAUAAACAUCUCAUUUUUCUUCUAUUGUUCACAUAACUAAGGCUGAUCAAAACUUUUGGUGUGUAUUUAAUUUUUAAAAUGUCUUACAGCAAAAGGUACAGUGCCAUUAAUCUGCCUCAGAAUACUUCUUGCUUUAAAUUCGCUUAUCUCAUUGUUCUUGCCACAUUGAAGCAGUUCUGGAAGUUGUCUUUUGUGUUUUUUACAAGGUACAAUAAAAAAAAUAUGGUGAGUGCUGCUGCAAUUUCAUCCAACAGAAAGACAGGUUCAUAAAAACAUCACAUGUGGUGUGUCCUCAUCCACCUACUUCAUAGGAUCUGGCACAAUGGGACUUCUUGCUCUUCCCCAAAGUCAAAAUGGCCAGGAAAGUGGAGGAAAAGGACCCACUGAAGCAAGAUUUCCUAGGGCCUUGAAGUCAAGGCCCUUAGUCCAGGCUCCUGCUUACCAACUCUGUGAACCCAGGUGACCACUUUGAGACAGGAUGUCUGCAUGGAUUCAGGCAAGUUACUCUCUGUGCCUCAGGUCCAUCCUCUGUGAAAUGGGAAGCAUGAACAGCAUAUGUGCUUUAUUGGCCCUGAGGUGCUAGAGUGAUGGUGCAUGUCACCUUCCCAUUGUGCCUGAGGCUCAGCAAGGAUUCUGUGCUACGAGCCACAUCUGACCUCUUCCUUCCAGCAGCAGCAAGGCCUGGACUAUCUCUGAGGGCUGGCUGGCUGACAACUCCCGGGUCACAGCACCUCAUCAGGCACACCAGCCAUUCCACAGCAUCUUCGCAGCAGCCUCUGGAGAGAUUCUGACAUAUUCUUCAGCUGACCAGGCGAGAUCCCCACUUAUAAAAGCUUCCAGACCUCUGCAGUCAUUUCCCCCCUCUUCACCCCCUUAGGGCCCUUUUCCAUCUAGCUCUAUUUCUCCAGGAACAAGACAGAAAAGACUGUUUUGAGCAAGUGUAAAAGAAGGAGCCCAGACUUGGAACUCCCAGGAACUGGCUUGGAAGCUCAGCUCUGCCAGAAACAACCUGGGGGCAAGUCAGUCAACCUCUCUGAAGCUCAGAGCCUUUGGUGGCUGGCCAGACAACAGGAUUGCACCAUGAAAUACUAAUAACAAUUUUUCUGCAAUUACUAGAAUGUGAUGGUAUAAACACAACACAGACUUUGAGAUCAAAGUCCUUUGAUUUUGCUCUGGUCUGAAUGUUUGUAUCUCCUCAAAAUUCGUAAGUUGAAAUCCUAACUCCCAGGGUGAUGCUAUUAGGAGGUGAGGUCUUUGGAAGUUUAUG
ensembl:lncRNA